GUCCGGAUGACACAGUGGUUAGCGAAACUGCCUUGUGAGCAGGUGGUCCCGGGUUCGAGUCCUGGUCCGGCACA